ensembl:snoRNA
CCGUGAUGAUAUAAAACCUUAUAUAUGCUGGAAUUACCGGCAGACUUUUGCUGUUGAGAUGGUUCUUUCUGAGG